AGGUAAACAUCACUGCUGAGAUCAAGAUUGGCUAAUUGCUAAUUAGUUGAUUUCACCCACUGGCCAGAAAGGGACUCUUUUAGGACAACUAGCUCUUCUUUGGACAUCAUCACCUCUAAAUGGUGCGAUCGUGCCUUUCCAGGAACAUACUUCAAGGAAUUAUUUGCAUCCGAUUCCACUUUCGCUGUUCAAGCAGAAAACAAGAGUGCAUGCUGAUGAAACGGAAAUAAAUCCUGCCUACCUGUUUGGUAACAUUAAAAUGAGAAUGUAGCAAGAAUUUCAGGUGAAAAUGCUUACCGUUGUCCCCUGGGCUCUCUGUGGCUCCUUCAGUCUGGGGAUAAGAGAAAGCACACUUUAGGAGCUCCGUAUCAGA